AAAACAUUUGUGACAAUGGAUUUUUUAAAAUCUAAAUGAAUCGCUAUACGUAUCUCUCUACAAAUCGACGGCGCCGGUACUUUUUUCUUGUUUUUUGCAAGUUGCAAAUGUUUGUACAAAUCGCUGUCGCCGCGGGAUGCUUUGGUUGUUUUGUGUGAAAAAAUCGAAUAAGUUGGACAUUAUUGUUCUAGUGAAAUGUUCAGUGCUAAGAAACCAUGCGGUAAUUAAUUUAAAAAAUGUUGGAAAUUGAGCACAGCCGAUAGAAAUUUAUUGAGGUUUGCCGUUAGUUCUGGGAGAAUGGCGAUAAAAAAUUUAUAAGUCGCUACCAUAAAUGUACUAAUUAUAAAUAAUCUGCCGAAAAUUUGGAUCGUCGGGAACAGCAAAAAGUCAACCACCAAGUAGAUUCUGAUUGGCGCAGAUAGUUGACUGGGUAACAUGAUAUAGGAUAAUCAAUUUAACAUUACUUAAGUGAUAUAGAUGCCGAUGUGUAUACUAGGAAUAAUCGAUCAGGAGCUACUGGAAAUUACUUAAAGUCAAAUCGAAUCACGAUUCUCCUUCCGACAAAUAUUUAUACUUGCUAUGAGAGAUAACUUUGCUGGGAGACUAAGAAUACAACAAAGGAACCAAUUCCCUCGGAUGCUUCACAAAACCGCGUGCUACAAUUCAGAGAGCUGGUUCCGUUUAGUGUUGAUCAAAAUACAAAUGCCGUAUAAUUUAAUUUAAUUUUAUCAAUAAUAAUAAUGAAUUAAUUUUAAUUAUUUUCAUAAUCGAUUGUUAUAUAUCUAGUUAUGGUUCUGACGUGAAGCACUUUGGUUUAUCUUCCGGGAGCGUAAAUUAUUUAAUAAAGGUGAUUGACAUUAGAACGCAAUCGCAAGUUCGAGUUUUUUCCCAGCAAUAAUUUUUUUUAACAACAAGUUUAACGAAAGUAUUCAUAUUUGUGAUCGAAAAACUAGAAAAAAAGCCUAUUUAAAUCUAAAAAGAUAAAAAAUCAAUCAACUGGUUCCAGAGGCGUCGCGUGGUUGAUUUCGUCACAUGUGCACCGAACAUUUAAGUUCUUUUUCCUUAAAUGAAAGAAGCAAAUCAAACCUAAGUGAUUGAUGCUUUGAAUUAAAGGGUGUCGCU